AACAGGGACCUGAAUACGGGGGACCAUAGUGAAGGACACCACGGAUUGUGAGCUCAGAUAAGUAAAUUAAGGGCGGUGAAUGCACUCGGGAGUAACAAGAUGGGUAUUGGUAACAGCCGAAUGCUUUUUGAGCAUAUGCUUAAAAUAUGCUUCGCGCUCGUGGAGCAAAGGUAGGGCAUGAACAGUUAUGUAAUUUUUUAGAAUUUGUAGAGAAAGUUUGUCUUUGGUUCCCUGAAGAAGGCACAGUAGAUUUAGAAGUAUGGAAUAAGGUGGGAAGGCGACUUCAGGACUAUUACGAUGGUCAUGGACCUACUAAAAUCCCUAUAGAUGCUUUUAGUUUAUGGGCUUUAAUUAGAGAUAGUUUGGAUCCUCGGUAUGAGGGAGAGAGGGUUGAAGGACCCUCCUCAAGUCCUUCCUCGGAGGAGCCUGACAAGGCUGGUGUUCCCGAGGUUGUCCCUCCGCCUCCUAUAGAAAGUGAAACUAAGCCAUCUGCUCCGCCAGUGUAUGCUGAGGCAGAGCCUGCACUAAGGAAGGGUUUUUUUCCGGAUGAGGGACCCCUAAACCCGGGAGAUGCUGAUGCUUUGGAAGAAGAGGCUGCUAGGACGCUGAAGGUGCCAGGUGGCUGCCUGAAAGAUGGGUCCGUUUUGCGGGAAAUUCUCCUGCCCCUUAGGAUGAUCCCGACAACUGUCCUGCUGGUAAAUCUAAUGAUGACGCUUAAUGAGAAGGUUUAUUGGACUUAUGUACCUGAUCCACCUGUUGUACAUCCAACGAGCUGAAAAAAUGGAGAAGUAAUGGUAUGGGUGAACAAUACCAGGCUGUUGGAUGAGCCGGCGGCACCUGACAAGAACGAGGUCCGAUUGUUCAACUAUACGGGAUCAGAAACCGGAACCCCCAUAUGUUUCUUCAAAAUCAACAGAACUGAUCGUAUAAGACUGAGUGCUCGCACCCUGGCAGGAAGGCAGGUAGAUCAAUGCAAAGGCGGGAUCACUGGAGUCCAUCUACAUCUACCUGUGGGUAUAGAGGCCACUGGUGUAGUGCCUCCAACUUUUAAUGCUCCAGUGGGACUGUUCCAUAGAAGAGAUGUGUGGCAGAUGCCCCUGUGAGAUAUAAUAUUACUGGAUUUGAUACUUAUGUUUUGGACUGGUCUGAAAAUUCUUGUCAUCCCAAAAGAAAUGUCACUGCACAUGUCAUGCGCUCUUAGGUAUUGCUUGUAGGAAAUAUUAGUGUUCAGAAAGAUUAUGAUUAUUAUAAUGUAAUUUACUUCAAUUGUCAAAUAAGCAAUUGUGUCACCCGAACAGAAAAUCAGAUAAGGGUUUUGCGAAUGUGUUCUUAGAUUUGGAUAUUAUAGAUCUCCAAAAUGCAGAACCCCUAAAAUUUGAUGCAGCCCAGGCUGCACAGGAUUUUAUCGAACAAAUUAGAAAAGUCCUGCCAUCUACAUCUGCAUUUACACGGUAACUCAUUUCCAUAGUAAUUAUUGGAGGAGGGAUGCCUCUUAGAUGCAUGCUCCUUCCGGCGCUACUACAGAUGUUUAUGCAUUGUUUAAUGAGGAUGGCUGGAAGUAUUCAUGGUCUACAAUUACAUGCUACACCACCUAAACCCAUGGUGUAAUUCCCUGCAGAGGCUGGUAGUCAAUGACGGGUAAGAGGAAUACAGGAAAUCACCAACCCAAGACAGAGCAAGAGUACUGUGACGCUCUUGACUCCAUGACGGGUAAGGGAUUUCUUUAUAUUCCUCACCUGAGACAGGCACAGCCUAUCUGCGUGAUCAAGGGACCUUGAUCAUAAUAUAUAAAACAGGGGGAGAUGUGGAGAGCGGUGUUAGCCAUAGAGGCUCCAUGUUAAAUCUUACCCUCCAUUGUAUAGAGCAAGGAGACUCUGUGACGAGGAACCGCGUCCUUGUCAAAUUAGAUGUUUACCUUCAGAAAUUGUCCUGGAACAUGAUGGACGUUUUGUAAACCCGAGAAACAAGAAAGCCCAUGAGGGUGGGGAAUUUCCAAAGAAUUAGAGAACAAGGAAGCAGGUGUCUUUGGGUAAGGGUCAUGAUGAACAACCAAACUCACCUGUGAUAAAAAGGGGAGGAGAAUAAAAAAGUGGUGGCGGCAGUCUCUCUGGGAGGCUCCCGACUCCAUCUCUGCGUCUUUCUUUUUCUUCAUCCUCACUCCCCCAUUCAGGUGCUGUUCGACAAGUGACGGCGGGCUCCGUCACCCCCUAGUUGGUCCCCACAUCCCCUCCUGCCUGCUCCCCUGGGAAAUAGAAAAUUAACCUUUCCCUGGGGUCUAUUCACAUGACCUUGGUUUAGCCCAACCCAGACAGGAGGGCAGGUUCCAAAGGAGCAGAACAAAGGGGAAAACAAAGCCUUCAGGGCCCAGCAGUUUCCUCUAGGAGAGCUGGGGCUGCUGAUAGCAUCGAGUG
ensembl:lncRNA